CUUGCAUUCUAGGAGGCCAUUGAAAGCAUAUGAAAUAGUUAACUUUCCUUGUUCAUAUGUAUUUUAUGCUAAGAUAAGGUUUAUAAUCAUUAGUGCUGACUGUAAGGAUAUGAAAUGGUUAACUUUAUAUGCUUUAAAAUAAUGUUUGAAAUAAUUAUGCUGACUUUGGCAGAUGUAUUUUGUACCAAGGUCUUUCGUCUACAGGAUGUAUGACCUUGCUCGACCUCAGGAUGUUACUGUGCCAUCUUUAUUCAAAUGCUCAUUUUUUUAAUGUCAGACAAGUAUGUACUACUAACUUUAAGGAAGUGAUAAAUCUCGCUGCUUGCGUGACAAACUGUGUAUAAAUGCUAGCCCUGAAAAUAUACUCAUUGAGAACUUGUUAAGCACUCUUUCGUGUCUGUGUUUUAAUUUGCUAACAAGAACUCCCAUCAAUUGAUGUGGUGACCGGAGAAUCGAGAAUCGAGGGGAGUUGAGUCCAGAACAGCUUUUAUCCUUUCAGCUUGGUGUCAUGAAGUGGGAUGACAGCAAAACCAUUGGGUAAGUAGCCUUUUUGUGUCUUAUUGAUGCUAAUUGUCUAUGACCCCCUUUGGUUCAGUAAGUCUGUAUCCAGUAGAAAGGAAAGGUGUAAGGACUUUAGUUAUAUUGAGACUGUAAAUAGGUCUCCGGUUUAUUAGACAUUUGGUCUAAAUAUAUAUAGGGGUUCUUGGUAACCCAGGUUAGUAUCUAAGAUAGAUACAGGUUUUUGAGACCAUAAGAGGUCUCCGGUUUAUUAUAGGGUUUUGGUAACCCAGGUUAGUAUCUAAGAUAGAUACAGGGUAUCUCAGGUAGAUACAGGUUUUGAGACCAUAAGAGGUCUCCGGUUUAUUAAGACUAUAGGUGUUCUGAGGAGCACGGUUUAUAGAUCUAUAAGUAUACCCCCAAACUUCUAUUUCUCCUGGUCACCUUUGUUUGUCUUAAGUGUUCUUUGUGGGUGAUUGUCUGUCUGUAUUGGGGACACACUUUGGUAAGUUAGUAGUGGGUCUGCCCUGAGUCAGCAGUAUGGGAAAUGUAAGUUCAGGUCCUGAGUGACCAAUAUAUAUAUAUAUAUAUAUACAUACUGUAUAUUAAAAAAGAACUGAUUCGCAGGUUGUACCUGAU